rnacentral:ncRNA from 1 species
GUGUUCGUUGGAAGGAGAGACCUUUGGCAUGUCAACAGUAAGGAACGGGAAUGGCAUUCGGGCUUCCUUGUUACGGAAUACAUACGUCCCACCUCAUUUGAGGUGGAUCGUGUUAGAAUUUCAU